UACGUAGGUGACAAGCGUUGUCCGGAUUUACUGGGCGUAAAGAGCGCGCAGGCGGUCGUUCAAGUCGAGUGUGAAAGCCCCCGGCUCAACUAGGGAGGGUCACUCGAUACUGAUCGACUCGAAGGCAGGAGAGGGUAGUGGAAUUCCCGGUGUAGUGGUGAAAUGCGUAGAUAUCGGGAGGAACACCAGUGGCGAAGGCGACUACCUGGCCUGUUCUUGACGCUGAGGCGCGAAAGCUAGGGGAGCAAACGGG
rnacentral:rRNA from 1 species